CGCGGCCUAUCAGCUUGUUGGUGAGGUAACGGCUCACCAAGGCAUCGACGGGUAGCUGGUCUGAGAGGACGAUCAGCCACACUGGGACUGAGACACGGCCCAGACUCCUACGGGAGGCAGCAGGAGGGAAUAUUGCGCAAUGGGCGAAAGCCUGACGCAGCGACGCCGCGUGGGGGAAGAAGGCCUUCGGGUCGUAAACCCCUUUCAGCAGGGACGAAAUUGACGGUACCUGCAGAAGAAGCGCCGGCCAACUACGUGCCAGCAGCCGCGGUAAUACGUAGGGCGCAAGCGUUGUCCGGAUCCAUUGGGCGUAAAGGGCUCGUAGGCGGUUUGGUAAGUCGGGUGUGAAAACUCAGGGCUCAACUCUGAGACGCCACUCGAUACUGCCAUGACUAGAGUCCGGUAGGGGAGUGUAGAAUUCCUGGUGUAGCAGUGAAAUGCGCAGAUAUCAGGAGGAAUACCGAUAGCGAAGGCAGCACUCUGGGCCGGUACUGACGCUGAGGAGCGAAAGCAUGGGGAGCAAACAGGAUUAGAUACCCUGGUAGUCCACGCCGUAAACGUUGGGCACUAGGUGUGGGUUCCAUCCAACGGGAUCCGUGCCGUAGCUAACGCAUUAAGUGCCCCGCCUGGGGAGUACGG
rnacentral:rRNA from 1 species